GACGAACGCUGGCGGCGUGCUUAACACAUGCAAGUCGAACGGAAAGGCCCUGCUUGCAGGGUACUCGAGUGGCGAACGGGUGAGUAACACGUGGGUGAUCUGCCCUGCACUUCGGGAUAAGCCUGGGAAACUGGGUCUAAUACCGGAUAGGAGCCAUUUUUAGUGUGAUGGUUGGAAAGUUUUUUUGGUGUAGGAUGAGCCUGAGGGCUAUCAGCUUGUUGGUGGGGUAAUGGCCUACCAAGGCGGCGACGGGUAGCCGGCCUGGGAGGGUGGACGGCCACAGUGGGACUGGGAUACGGCCCAGACUCCGACGGGAGGGAGCAGUGGGGAAUAUUGCACAAGGGGCGCAAGCCUGAUGCAGCGACGCCGCGGGGGGGAGGACGGCCUUCGGGUUGUAAACUCCAUUCGCUAGGGACGAAGCUUUUUGUGACGGUACCUAGAUAAGAAGCCCCGGCUAACUACGUG
rnacentral:rRNA from 1 species